ACCCAUCUAGAGGACGAGGAGGAGGAAUUAAACCCAUCUAGAGGACGAGGAGGAGGAAUUAAACCCAUCUAGAGGACGAGGAGGAUUAAUUAAACCCAUCUAGAGGACGAGGAGGAUUAAUUAAACCCAUCUAGAGGACGAGGAGGGUUAAUUACACCAACAAAAGACGAAGGAAAACAGGGAGAUUUGAGCUGUAAAUUGAAAUAGCAGCAGCCUCUGUCUUGACAUCUGCAGGGGAAGAAAGAAAUGCCAACUCAACAACAAUAGAAUGACGACUUUUGUGUCAGUGAAACAAUCCAGGAAUGCAGCUUUGUGAUGGACGGAGAGAGAGAAAGGAGAGAACAAGAGAACAACGUAGCUGGAAACUGCCCAGAUCAGCUGAAAACUGAUCACAGAUCAGCUGAAGUAAUCCAGAGAGCAUCAGCGCGGCUCCAGUGAGACCACUAUCCAAAGACCCAGAGACCCAAAUAUAACAGCAGCAGAAGGGGGAGUCACUCCUACAGCAACAAUGUGAAGUCACAAAGAGAUAUAGGGAUGGUUUUAAAAGACUUUCCAGCUUCCAAUCAGUUUUCCAAGAAUGAUUUUCCAAAGUUUUCCAGGUUCGUCUCUCAGCAGGCAGGGAUCGAGCCCUGGAAGCUGGAAUGUGACACAGGAGAAGCUCACCCCCACGGAUAUUCACACACACACACACACACACACACUCGUGCUCCGCACUCUUGUUCGUAAAAAACCCUCACACUCUCAUCUCCCACACUCUGUAAGACCCAUCGUCUCUGCUAUACAUUCCCCUCUUACCACCCAACCUGACUACAUUGAGCAGAGAGAGCAACUCUGUGG